rnacentral:ncRNA from 1 species
GUUUAGUUUUAUUCUAGCUAUGUUAUAUUAAGUAUUAUAUUAUUUAUACAUGUAAUUUUAUAAGUAUUAAUUUUUUUCUAAAAGAAAUAAUUUUGUUACGCAGUAUAUAAUUUUAUCAUUUAUUAAAUUUAGAUACAGUAAUUAUAUUUAGAGAGGACAAAUUUUUGUGCCAGCAGUCGCGGUUAUACAAAAUUUUCUAUUUAAUAUUUAAAGUUUCAGUUAAUUUUUCUUUUUAUUAAAUUAUAUUAAUUUUGGUGAAAUAUAUUAUGCUAUAAUAUAAUAUAUAUUUAUCUGAUAAAUUAUUAAUUAAACUAGGAUUAGAUACCCUAUUAUUAAUAAUGUAAAUUAAAUAACUUGAUUAUUAAUAGUUAAAAUCUUUAAAUUCAAAGAAUUUGGCGGUAAUAUAUCUAUUCAGAGGAACCUGUUUCAUAAUUGAUAGUCCACAAUAGAUUAUACUUUAUUAUGACUUGUAUACCGCUGUCAAGAAUGUUCUAAUAGGAAAAUAUUUUCUUUAUUUUCUAUAAAAAAAAUGUCAGGUCAAGGUGCAGUUUAAAUUAUAAAGAAGAAAUGGGUUACAUAUUAAUAUAUUUAAAUUUAGAUUAUUUUUAUAAUAUAAAAUUAUGAAAUUGGAUUUGAUAAUAAAUUUAUUAAAUUAAAUUUAUUGAAACAAGCUCUAUAUUAUGUACAUAUCGCCCGUCACUCUCACUUCAAAGUGAGAUAAGUCGUAACAAAGUAGUUGUACCGGAAGGUGUAUCUAGAAAUAUA